GACGAACGCUGGCGGCGUGCCUAAUACAUGCAAGUCGAACGAGUGGCGGACGGGUGAGUAAUGAUUGGGAAUCUAACUUAUAGAGGGGGAUAACUACGGGAAACUGUAGCUAAUACCGCGUACCAUAGGAUGAGCCCAAGUGGGAUUAGGUAGUUGGUGAGGUAAAGGCUCACCAAGCCGACGAUCUCUAGCUGGUCUGAGAGGAUGACCAGCCACACGGGGACUGAGACACGGCCCAGACUCCUACGGGAGGCAGCAGUGGGGAAUAGUGCGCAAUGGGGGCAACCUGACGCAGCCAUGCCGCGUGAAUGAUGAAGGCCUUCGGGUUGUAAAGUUCUUUCGGUAGCGAGGCGUUAACUACAGAAGAAGCACCGGCUAACUCCGUGCCAGCCGCCGCGGUAAUAC
rnacentral:rRNA from 1 species